CUGACCCCCGCCGUGACCCCCGUCGUUCCGGCUUCCCUCAAGGCGGCGGCGGAAGGUGGGAACAGUGAUCGCGGACCGGAGAGGGCUAGGGGUGGGCAGACCGCUUCCCCCGCCUUCGAGAGCGAGUGGGGAGCAGCGUUUCACUCCACUACCUCCCUCCCCGCACCCUUCACCGUGUCUCCCACCAGCUCACCCGGAGGCUCGUAGCUUCUCCUUGGCCGUUAUAGCGAGCUCGGCCUCUGCGGCCGCUACAGCUCCCUUGGGACGGGUUGCUUCACGUAGGACCCCGCAACCUCCGGUGCCUGUUCACACGCUUCCAGGGACCCGGAGCACGUUACCAUCCCAUCUGAGAAUGCCGGCUGGCCUGCCUCUUCAGCGUUCUCUUCUGCUAUGUAAGAUGGUGUGUUAAAGACUGCAUACACCUCUAAGUAAAUGCAAUACAUACAGGGAGAAAGGAAGUGGGGGAAACAGAAACAUUGAUGCGAAAGAGAAACAUCAGUUGGUUGUGCCUUGUAGGCACCCUGACUGGCAGUGCAACCUAGAUGCUGACCAUCGGGAAGAUGAGGGACUCAUCUCAAAGACCAUCUCCUGAGAAGGUGGGGGACUCCUGUCUCAACGCCUAUCUUCUGGAAAGAUGGGGGACUCACAUAUCAAAGCCCACCUUCUACAUCUCAGUGGAGGCAGAGGUUUUUCAUAAGGAGGGAGAGGGGGAAAGACCAAAGAGAUCAAGGGAGGGUGCUAAAAAGUUCUUUACAUACAGGUGAGCCCAGUCCAUUCUGAUAAGGCAGGUGAUGGUAUGGUGUGCACCAUUCUGGUUUAGUCACCCUGGCUUCACAUCAUCCUGGUUUUACGUCAUCCUGACUCCAUGGUUGAAAGUCAGCAAAUCUAGAGCUGGGUGCCUGAAGGUCAGAGUCUGUAUCUUUUGAAGUUAGUUCCUAGGAUUCUUAGACAAACACACUGUUUAUCUAUAAGCUACAUAUUAGUCAGAGUAAGUACAGAAACAAUGUCAAAAGAAUGGUGAGGUGGGUUAGAAUUCCCCAGUGUUACAAUUUUCCACUGUUACAUUACUUCAAACUGAUUCCAUUCAAUUCAGGGAUUCCUGCACUUGGGAACAUUUUAUGUUUAACCUAAAAUUUUUACAUUGCUUUUUUUUGUUUUCACAUUUUUUAUUCCUUAAAACUGCUCACAUUGCAAAUUGUUCAUGGAUGAAAUAGGAAACUGAGCAGAUUUUUCUACAAAAUAUGGUAUAACCUUACUCAAUUUUCCAUCUGAUGGCUAAUAAACCUUAGAGUACACAUUGUAAAAUUACCCUCUUAAGGACUGAAUGUGUAGAGCAUUCUGCAAGUUAAAAGAAAUAAGCUAAAAAUGAGCAUAUAAACCUACCUCUAAAUCAACAGUACUGAAUCCUGGCAAACAUCCUAAAAGGAAAAAAAAAAUCUUUAAAGAGAUACAGUUCAGUCCCAAAAGGAUUAAAUAGAGAAAGCCCUGGCUGGUGUGGCUCAGUGGACUGAGUGCUAGCCUGCAAACCAAAAGGAUUAAAUAGAAACCUUAAUAUGUUAUUGUUUCUAACUAUCCAUCUCACAUUACAGUGCUUGAACAGUCAAAAGUUUAGCACAAAAAAUUACAUUUGUUCAGUAAACAUCAGAAACAGCAGCUUUUGAAGUCAAAUGUAGGUAACUUGGUUAAUAAU